UAUUAUUAUUCCCUUCCCUAACCCUUUUGUGUGUCUCUGCCCCCCUUUCCCCCAGCUCUUCUGCCUUUUCCCCUCCUCAGCCCCUUUGUGUGUCUAUUUUUCCCCUUCCCCAGCCUGUCUGUGUGUUACUGUCUUCUUCUCAGCCCUCACUGUGUGCAUUGUCCCCUUCUCAGCCCCUCUGUGUUAUUACCCCCUUUCCCUGUUUGUUUCUGUCUUCCCCCAGUCCCUCCAUGUGUCUCAUUCUUCUCCCCAGCCCUUUUGUGUAUCUCAUUCUACCCCCUAG